GCGGCUAUAAAGUUCGCCGAAU
rnacentral:piRNA from 1 species